CCUACGGGAGGCUGCAGUGGGGAAUUUUCCGCAAUGGGCGAAAGCCUGACGGAGCAAUACCGCGUGAGGGAAGACUGCCUAUGGGUUGUAAACCUCUUUUUUCAGGGAGGAAUCAAUGACGUGUACCUGAAGAAUAAGCAUCGGCUAACUCCGUGCCAGCAGCCGCGGUAAGACGGAGGAUGCAAGUGUUAUCCGGAAUCACUGGGCGUAAAGCGUCUGUAGGUGGUUUAAUAAGUCAACUGUUAAAUCUUGAGGCUCAACUUCAAAAUCGCAGUCGAAACUAUUAGACUAGAGUAUAGUAGAGGUAAAGGGAAUUUCCAGUGGAGCGGUGAAAUGCGUAGAUAUUGGAAAGAACACCGAUGGCGAAAGCACUUUACUGGGCUAUUACUAACACUCAGAGACGAAAGCUAGGGUAGCAAAUGGGAUUAGAUACCCGAGUA
rnacentral:rRNA from 1 species